rnacentral:rRNA from 1 species
AUGUUCCUACGGGAGGCAGCAGUGAGGAAUAUUGGUCAAUGGGCUUACGCCUGAACCAGCCAAGUCGCGUGAGGGAAGACUGCCCUAUGGGUUGUAAACCUCUUUUGUCAGGGAGCAACGCCGGCUACGUGUAGCCGGACUGAGAGUACCUGACCAAGAAGCCCCGGCUAACUACGUGCCAGCAGCCGCGGUAAUACGUAGGGGGCAAGCGUUAUCCGGAUUCACUGGGCGUAAAGGGAGCGCAGGCGGCACGGCAAGUCUGGUGUGAAAGCCCGGGGCCCAACCCCGGGACUGCAUUGGAAACU